rnacentral:misc_RNA from 1 species
GAUGAAGAACGUAGCGAAAUGCGAUACGUAAUGUGAAUUGCAGAAUUCAGUGAAUCAUCGAAUCUUUGAACGCACCUUGCGCUCCUUGGUAUUCCGGGGGGCAUGCCUGUCCGAGCGUCAUUGCUGCCCUCAAGCACGGCUUGUGUGUUGGGCCUCCGUCCUCCUCCCGGGGGACGGGCCCGAAAGGCAGCGGCGGCACCGCGUCCGGUCCUCGAGCGUAUGGGGCUUCGUCACCCGCUCUUGUAGGCCCGGCCGGCGCUUGCCGACACAUCAAUCUUUUUUCCAGGUUGACCUCGGAUCAGGUAGGGAUACCCGCUGAACUUAAGCAUAUCAAUAAGCGGAGGA